rnacentral:rRNA from 1 species
UACGUAGGGGGCUAGCGUUGUCCGGAAUCAUUGGGCGUAAAGAGCGUGUAGGCGGCCCGGUAAGUCCGCUGUGAAAGUCGGGGGCUCAACCCUCGAAUGCCGGUGGAUACUGUCGGGCUAGAGUGCGGAAGAGGCGAGUGGAAUUCCUGGUGUAGCGGUAAAAUGCGCAGAUAUCAGGAGGAACACCAAUGGCGAAGGCAGCACUCUGGGACGUGACUGACGCUGAGACGCGAAAGCGUGGGGAGCAAACAGG